GACGAACGCUGGCGGCGUGCUUAACACAUGCAAGUCGAACGGAAAGGCCCUGCUUUUGUGGGGUGCUCGAGUGGCGAACGGGUGAGUAACACGUGAGUAACCUGCCCUUGACUUUGGGAUAACUUCAGGAAACUGGGGCUAAUACCGGAUAGGAGCUCCUGCUGCAUGGUGGGGGUUGGAAAGUUUCGGCGGUUGGGAAUGGACUCGCGGCUUAUCAGCUUGUUGGUGGGGUAGUGGCUUACCAAGGCUUUGACGGGUAGCCGGCCUGAGAGGGUGACCGGCCACAUUGGGACUGAGAUACGGCCCAGACUCCUACGGAAGGCAGCAGUGGGGAAUAUUGCACAAUGGGCGGAAGCCUGAUGCAGCAACGCCGCGUGCGGGAUGACGGCCUUCGGGUUGUAAACCGCUUUCGCCUGUGACGAAGCGUGAGUGACGGUAAUGGGUAAAGAAGCACCGGCUAACUACGUG
rnacentral:rRNA from 1 species